GCCCAUGUGGCUCUGUGGGUAGAGCGUUGGUCCUUGCACUGAAGGGUUGCAGGUUCAAUUUCCGGUCAAGGGCA
rnacentral:tRNA from 1 species